GGUUAAGCGACUAAGCGUACACGGUGGAUGCCCUGGCAGUCAGAGGCGAUGAAGGACGUGCUAAUCUGCGAUAAGCGUCGGUAAGGUGAUAUGAACCGUUAUAACCGGCGAUUUCCGAAUGGGGAAACCCAGUGUGAUUCGUCACACUAUCAUUAACUGAAUCCAUAGGUUAAUGAGGCGAACCGGGGGAACUGAAACAUCUAAGUACCCCGAGGAAAAGAAAUCAACCGAGAUUCCCCCAGUAGCGGCGAGCGAACGGGGAGCAGCCCAGAGCCUGAAUCAGUGUGUGUGUUAGUGGAAGCGUCUGGAAAGGCGCGCGAUACAGGGUGACAGCCCCGUACACAAAAAUGCACAUACUGUGAGCUCGAUGAGUAGGGCGGGACACGUGGUAUCCUGUCUGAAUAUGGGGGGACCAUCCUCCAAGGCUAAAUACUCCUGACUGACCGAUAGUGAACCAGUACCGUGAGGGAAAGGCGAAAAGAACCCCGGCGAGGGGAGUGAAAAAGAACCUGAAACCGUGUACGUACAAGCAGUGGGAGCACGCUUAGGCGUGUGACUGCGUACCUUUUGUAUAAUGGGUCAGCGACUUAUAUUCUGUAGCAAGGUUAACCGAAUAGGGGAGCCGAAGGGAAACCGAGUCUUAACUGGGCGUUAAGUUGCAGGGUAUAGACCCGAAACCCGGUGAUCUAGCCAUGGGCAGGUUGAAGGUUGGGUAACACUAACUGGAGGACCGAACCGACUAAUGUUGAAAAAUUAGCGGAUGACUUGUGGCUGGGGGUGAAAGGCCAAUCAAACCGGGAGAUAGCUGGUUCUCCCCGAAAGCUAUUUAGGUAGCGCCUCGUGAAUUCAUCUCCGGGGGUAGAGCACUGUUUCGGCAAGGGGGUCAUCCCGACUUACCAACCCGAUGCAAACUGCGAAUACCGGAGAAUGUUAUCACGGGAGACACACGGCGGGUGCUAACGUCCGUCGUGAAGAGGGAAACAACCCAGACCGCCAGCUAAGGUCCCAAAGUCAUGGUUAAGUGGGAAACGAUGUGGGAAGGCCCAGACAGCCAGGAUGUUGGCUUAGAAGCAGCCAUCAUUUAAAGAAAGCGUAAUAGCUCACUGGUCGAGUCGGCCUGCGCGGAAGAUGUAACGGGGCUAAACCAUGCACCGAAGCUGCGGCAGCGACGCUUAUGCGUUGUUGGGUAGGGGAGCGUUCUGUAAGCCUGCGAAGGUGUGCUGUGAGGCAUGCUGGAGGUAUCAGAAGUGCGAAUGCUGACAUAAGUAACGAUAAAGCGGGUGAAAAGCCCGCUCGCCGGAAGACCAAGGGUUCCUGUCCAACGUUAAUCGGGGCAGGGUGAGUCGACCCCUAAGGCGAGGCCGAAAGGCGUAGUCGAUGGGAAACAGGUUAAUAUUCCUGUACUUGGUGUUACUGCGAAGGGGGGACGGAGAAGGCUAUGUUGGCCGGGCGACGGUUGUCCCGGUUUAAGCGUGUAGGCUGGUUUUCCAGGCAAAUCCGGAAAAUCAAGGCUGAGGCGUGAUGACGAGGCACUACGGUGCUGAAGCAACAAAUGCCCUGCUUCCAGGAAAAGCCUCUAAGCAUCAGGUAACAUCAAAUCGUACCCCAAACCGACACAGGUGGUCAGGUAGAGAAUACCAAGGCGCUUGAGAGAACUCGGGUGAAGGAACUAGGCAAAAUGGUGCCGUAACUUCGGGAGAAGGCACGCUGAUAUGUAGGUGAAGUCCCUCGCGGAUGGAGCUGAAAUCAGUCGAAGAUACCAGCUGGCUGCAACUGUUUAUUAAAAACACAGCACUGUGCAAACACGAAAGUGGACGUAUACGGUGUGACGCCUGCCCGGUGCCGGAAGGUUAAUUGAUGGGGUCAGCGCAAGCGAAGCUCUUGAUCGAAGCCCCGGUAAACGGCGGCCGUAACUAUAACGGUCCUAAGGUAGCGAAAUUCCUUGUCGGGUAAGUUCCGACCUGCACGAAUGGCGUAAUGAUGGCCAGGCUGUCUCCACCCGAGACUCAGUGAAAUUGAACUCGCUGUGAAGAUGCAGUGUACCCGCGGCAAGACGGAAAGACCCCGUGAACCUUUACUAUAGCUUGACACUGAACAUUGAGCCUUGAUGUGUAGGAUAGGUGGGAGGCUUUGAAGUGUGGACGCCAGUCUGCAUGGAGCCGACCUUGAAAUACCACCCUUUAAUGUUUGAUGUUCUAACGUGGACCCGUGAUCCGGGUUGCGGACAGUGUCUGGUGGGUAGUUUGACUGGGGCGGUCUCCUCCUAAAGAGUAACGGAGGAGCACGAAGGUUGGCUAAUCCUGGUCGGACAUCAGGAGGUUAGUGCAAUGGCAUAAGCCAGCUUGACUGCGAGCGUGACGGCGCGAGCAGGUGCGAAAGCAGGUCAUAGUGAUCCGGUGGUUCUGAAUGGAAGGGCCAUCGCUCAACGGAUAAAAGGUACUCCGGGGAUAACAGGCUGAUACCGCCCAAGAGUUCAUAUCGACGGCGGUGUUUGGCACCUCGAUGUCGGCUCAUCACAUCCUGGGGCUGAAGUAGGUCCCAAGGGUAUGGCUGUUCGCCAUUUAAAGUGGUACGCGAGCUGGGUUUAGAACGUCGUGAGACAGUUCGGUCCCUAUCUGCCGUGGGCGCUGGAGAACUGAGGGGGGCUGCUCCUAGUACGAGAGGACCGGAGUGGACGCAUCACUGGUGUUCGGGUUGUCAUGCCAAUGGCACUGCCCGGUAGCUAAAUGCGGAAGAGAUAAGUGCUGAAAGCAUCUAAGCACGAAACUUGCCCCGAGAUGAGUUCUCCCUGACUCCUUGAGAGUCCUGAAGGAACGUUGAAGACGACGACGUUGAUAGGCCGGGUGUGUAAGCGCAGCGAUGCGUUGAGCUAACCGGUACUAAUGAACCGUGAGGCUUAACCUU
rnacentral:rRNA from 1 species